rnacentral:rRNA from 1 species
AACCGCACAAGCGGUGAGUAUGUUGUUUAAUUCGAGGAUACACGAAGAACCUUUACCAGGUCUUGACAUACCAUUGACCGGUCUAGAGAUUAGACUUUUUCGGCUUUCGGGCGACAAUGGAUACAGGUGGUGCAUGGUUGUCGUCGGCUCGUGUCGUGAGAUGUUGGGUUAAGUCCCGCAACGAGCGCAACCCCUACGUUUAGUUGCUAACGCGUGAAGGCGAGCACUCUAGACGAACUGCCGUUGACAAAACGGAGGAAGGUGGGAUGACGUCAAAUCAUCAUGCCCCUUAUGUUCUGGGCUACACACGUGCUACAAUGGCCGGUACAGACGGACGCAAAGCCGCGAGGUGGAGCAAAUCCUAAAAAGACCGGUCUCAGUUCGGAUUGCAGGCUGCAAUUCGCCUGCAUGAAGUCGGAAUCGCUAGUAAUCGCAGGUCAGCAUACUGCGGUCGAAUACGUUCCCGGGCCUU